AGUGAACGCUGGCGGCGUGCCUAAUACAUGCAAGUCGAACGGAGAUUAAGUAGCUUGCUAUUUAAUCUUAGUGGCGCACGGGUGAGUAAUAUAUAGCUAACUUGCCCAUUACUAAGGGACAACAGUUGGAAACGACUGCUAAUACCUUAUACUCCGUAUCUAUAUAAGUAGAUACGGGAAAGUUUUUCGGUAAUGGAUAGGGCUAUAUCGUAUCAGCUAGUUGGUAAGGUAAUGGCUUACCAAGGCUAUGACGCGUAACUGGUCUGAGAGGAUGAUCAGUCAUACUGGAACUGAGACACGGUCCAGACUCCUACGGGAGGCAGCAGUAGGGAAUAUUGCUCAAUGGGGGAAACCCUGAAGCAGCAACGCCGCGUGGAGGAUGACACUUUUCGGAGCGUAAACUCCUUUUCUUGGGAAAGAAUUAUGACGGUACCCAAGGAAUAAGCACCGGCUAACUCCGUG
rnacentral:rRNA from 1 species